rnacentral:lncRNA from 1 species
UCCAAAUAUCCCUACUCAUUUGCAGAAAAACCAUACCCAUUUGCAGAAACAACCCCCCCCCCCUCGCGUCUUCUCCAAAUACCCCUACUCUUCUUCAAAAAAUUUUUCUUUUUUACCCUAAUUAGCAAGUUUAAAAUUCACCAAAAAUUAAACUUACUCCUCUUUAAAAUUCACACUAUUAUACUACUGCUUCUUCACUCCUCAGACACCCAACAAAUUUCCAAAAAAAUUUCUCCAUUAGAGACAGACAAAAUUCCUUGUUUCCUUCUUCCCCACUGCCUCUGUAAUCUCCAUUGCCGGCUUCCCUAAUAAACCAAUGCAACUCUCAUUUGUCACUUUUCUAUAUCCCUGAAACCCAACUCAAAAAUUCCCAAUUCUUUCGUUAUUUUCUUUCUUUUCUUCAAUUCUCGUUCUGUAAUUCAGGAGUGAACCAUUUGAUCUUUCUAUACUUUUUUGUGAUUCCCUUUUGGACAUACUGUAGUGGGGUUUUCG